AAGUAAUUGCAAUUGUGUUAGUAUCAUUGUUAUGCAUUGUUUCAAAUAAAUAAAUAGGAAGAUUCAAGCUUGCUUAAUCAAUGAAUUGGCAAGUUUGGUUUUCGGUGUUUGUGGGUGAAUGAAUUGGCAAGUUUGGUUUUAUUCAAGCUUGCUUAAUCAAUGAAUUGGCAAGUUUGGUUUUCGGUGUUUGUGGGUGAGAGAGUGAUAACAUUUUUUUUUUGGUCUUCAUAGAUAUAUGCACUUCUAUCAGUAGAAUUGUGUUAAAUCAUAGCCUUUUAGUGAAGUAUUGAACUUACCUUUGUUCUUUCUACUAGUGAUUGCUGGUAGCAAUUGAAAGGAGCAACAAUUUGGCUGUAUUUUGCUUGAUAUGAUGUGAAAUAAAUUUUUUGUUGAAUCAAACCCGGAUGUAGGAAACAUUGCAGUGUAAGAAAGCAGUCCUUUAGGAGCUCGAAACCACAUAAACAGAGAAAAAUCUUGUAGCAACAGUAUCUCUUGUGCUUCCAAGAUGAAGUAUGUGUGUCACUAUUUUCCUCAAAUGGUUACUGUAGUGGAGGUUUGGAUGCUUCUUUGUAUCUUGAUAGCUAGGGGAAAUCUGAAUAAUGUAUGUGCAAAGGGUUCCUUAGAUGCAAAAACAGAGCUGAUUCUUUUAAUGUCUCAGUGUGACCUAAAGCUAUUAAUUGGAAUAAAUGUAGUGCAGGAAUUAUUAUGUUCCUUUUAUGGUUGAUCUGACUGCAUCAUUUUCUGGUUUUACCCAUUAAAUCAAUUUUCUUUUUCCUCUAUUUUAUUUUAUUGUAAUAGUAAAUGUCCUAUAUAUUUUUUCAACUAAGUUUCUAUGUUUUUUCUCAACCCACUACAUUAAUCAUGUCAAAAUUGCAUUCUUCAGGAGUCUAUAUGAAAGUUAUAGUCAAACGCAGGAAGGUAAAUUGAAGUGCAUCAUACAUUAUUUCAAGAGGAUAUGCUCCUGCAUGCCUGUUGGCUUUGUCUCUUUUGAGCGGAAAGUUCUUCCUCAGGACUGUCAUCCUCUAAAAUUUGUAUAUAAAUAAAAGAUCGUCAUUGUCAUUGUCAUUUGAAAAAAAAAAA
rnacentral:lncRNA from 1 species